ACUCAAAGGAAUAGACGGGGACCCGCACAAGCAGUGGAGUAUGUGGUUUAAUUCGACGCAACGCGAAGAACCUUACCGAGGCUUGACAUUAUGUUGAGUAUGCCGGAAACGGCAUAGCCUACGGGCAAUAUAACAGGUGGUGCAUGGUUGUCGUCAGCUCGUGUCGUGAGAUGUUGGGUUAAGUCCCGCAACGAGCGCAACCCUUGUCAAUAGUUGCCAGCAAUAAGAUGGGCACUCUAUAGAGACUGCCGGUGAUAAAUCGGAGGAAGGUGGGGACGACGUCAAAUCAUCAUGCCCCUUAUGUCUCGGGCUACACACGUACUACAAUGGCUAUUACAACAGGAAGCGAAGGAGCGAUCCGGAGCGGAUCCCAAAAGAUAGCCCCAGUUCGGAUUGCAGGCUGCAACUCGCCUGCAUGAAGUCGGAAUUGCUAGUAAUUGCAGGUCAGCAUACUGCAGUGAAUACGUUCCCGGGUCUUGUACACACCGCCCGU
rnacentral:rRNA from 1 species